rfam:Populus trichocarpa isolate Nisqually-1 chromosome 2, whole genome shotgun sequence.
UAAUAUAUUUGGGGCAGAUCCUCAUCUAAUUGUGACAAACUCAUAUUUUAUUUAAAAUCAUUCAUUAUCGCAGGCCCAACUAUAAUAUCAAUACAUCAAUAGGAUAACAUUUUUUUCGUUUCACUUGAAU